rnacentral:rRNA from 1 species
UACAGAGGUCUCAAGCGUUGUUCGGAUUCAUUGGGCGUAAAGGGUGCGUAGGUGGCGCUGUAAGUCGGGUGUGAAAUUUCGGAGCUUAACUCCGAAACUGCAUUCGAUACUGCGGUGCUUGAGGACUGGAGAGGAGACUGGAAUUCAUGGUGUAGCAGUGAAAUGCGUAGAUAUCUGGAGGAACACCGGUGGCGAAGGCGGCGUCCUGGACCAACACUGACACUGAGGAGCGAAAGCCAGGGGAGCAAACGGG